rnacentral:rRNA from 1 species
GGCUUAAUUUGACUCAACGCGGGAAAUCUUACCGGGUCCGGACACACUGAGGAUUGACAGAUAUACGCUGCGUUAUGUCCUUCGGGACUGCGUGGCUCAAAGAUGCUAGUUCUUUCAUGAUUAUGUGAUAGGUGGGGCAUGGCCGUUCUUAGUUCGCGGAGUGAUAUGUCUGCUUAAUUGCGUAUCAAUAAUAGAGACCUAGUAUACGUGCAUUACUCAUGUGGGAGUGACCCCCUCUUCGCGGAGGCGCGUGUCGCACAUAUGGUAUGCGCACUGGUCUCAGAUAGCAACGAACGUGACCGUAUUCUAUUGUGGGAGUGAAUUAUACGUGUUAUACCCUCCCGGGGUACUCACAUCCCACUGCUUAGGGUGCGCGGCGUAUUUCGGUACUCGCGUCACACAUUAAACUAUAGAGACCGCUGUUUCUUCUUUAAACCAGAGGAAGGAUACGGCAAUAACAGGUCUGUGAUGCCCUCAGAUGUUCCGGGCUGCACACGUGCUACAAUGAUCAUUGCGCUGUGCAUCUAACCAAAUGUGCGCGGACGCCCCGAUUUGUGAUUUUUGCUUUCGGGCAUUAUUACAUAUUUGCUUGUGCGACUGCGCCGAACCUACUUCGAAAGUAAAAUUUUUUAGUGGGUAAUCCAUUAGAAAUAAUGACUCUCAUAAACCAUGGCACACUUUAUGUGCGCGCAGGUCUACCCGGCUCCCUUUGUGUGAGUGCAGGGCGAACUUGUUGUUUCUACGUGCCCCCCCCCUAUUAAUUCGUACGUGGGGAUAGACAAUUGUUUAAUUUGUGGGCCUCGUCCUAAACAAGAAUGCCUUGUACGGGUCUUUGGUUCAACAAACCACCCGGAAAACCCCCCUGCCCUUUGUAAACACGCCAGCGCUCUUACCGAUGGGAUAUAC